rnacentral:pre_miRNA from 1 species
AUUGUACUCCCUCCGUCCGGAAAUACUUGUCAAAGGAAUGAAUGUAUCUAGACAUAUUUUAGUUCUAGAUACAUUCAUUUUUAUCCAUUUCCGCGACAAGUAAUUCCGGACGGAAGGAGUAUUGU